rnacentral:rRNA from 1 species
CCUACGGGAGGCAGCAGUGAGGAAUAUUGGUCAAUGGGCGUAAGCCUGAACCAGCCAAGUCGCGUGAGGGAUGAAGGUUCUAUGGAUCGUAAACCUCUUUUAUAAGGGAAUAAAGUGUGGGACGUGUCCUAUUUUGUAUGUACCUUAUGAAUAAGGAUCGGCUAACUCCGUGCCAGCAGCCGCGGUAAUACGGAGGAUCCGAGCGUUAUCCGGAUUUAUUGGGUUUAAAGGGUGCGUAGGCGGCCUUUUAAGUCAGCGGUGAAAGUCUGUGGCUCAACCAUAGAAUUGCCGUUGAAACUGGGGGGCUUGAGUAUGUUUGAGGCAGGCGGAAUGCGUGGUGUAGCGGUGAAAUGCUUAGAUAUCACGCAGAACCCCGAUUGCGAAGGCAGCCUGCCAAGCCAUGACUGACAUUGAUGCUCGAAAGUGUGGGUAUCAAACAGGAUUAGAUACCCGAGUAGUC